GUUGUUAUGUUAAAAUAGAUAAUUAUUCACCUUGAGCGAUGUAUUAUUGUUGACCAUUCGAGAUUCUUGUUUGCAAACCCGUCUUCAGCGUAAUGUGUGAUUUUGAUAUUACUACGCGGGCCUCAAGGGGUUACAAAUCGAAAAUAAAUGCUAAAUAUGUUAGUUUUUGUGUCUUUCAAAACACAAACAAUAUACAGAAUUAAUUGCAAGAUAAAGACAAUAACUGUUUAGUGUCUUUAAAUAUCAGCUGUAUUUGUA
rnacentral:lncRNA from 1 species